rnacentral:rRNA from 1 species
GCUUAACUGAAGAAGUGCAUCGGAAACUGGGUGACUUGAGUGCAGAAGAGGACAGUGGAACUCCAUGUGUAGCGGUGGAAUGCGUAGAUAUAUGGAAGAACACCAGUGGCGAAGGCGGCUGUCUGGUCUGCAACUGACGCUGAGGCUCGAAAGCAUGGGUAGCGAACAGGAUUAGAUACCCUGGUAGUCCAUGCCGUAAACGAUGAGUGCUAGGUGUUGGAGGGUUUCCGCCCUUCAGUGCCGGAGCUAACGCAUUAAGCACUCCGCCUGGGGAGUACGACCGCAAGGUUGAAACUCAAAGGAAUUGACGGGGGCCCGCACAAGCGGUGGAGCAUGUGGUUUAAUUCGAAGCUACGCGAAGAACCUUACCAGGUCUUGACAUCUUGCGCUAACCUAAGAGAUUAGGCGUUCCCUUCGGGGACGCAAUGACAGGUGGUGCAUGGUCGUCGUCAGCUCGUGUCGUGAGAUGUUGGGUUAAGUCCCGCAACGAGCGCAACCCUUGUUACUAGUUGCCAGCAUUCAGUUGGGCACUCUAGUGAGACUGCCGGUGACAAACCGGAGGAAGGUGGGGACGACGUCAGAUCAUCAUGCCCCUUAUGACCUGGGCUACACACGUGCUACAAUGGUCGGUACAACG